rnacentral:lncRNA from 1 species
CUGUAGUGUCCAGUACAAGCUGGUAUCAGGAGGCUGAAGGGUCUGAGCUGGAAACCAGAAGAUCACAUCCAAGUGCUGGAGAUCAAACCCAGAGACUAACAUAUGCUAGAAAUGGACAUGGAUUUAGAAUUCAGACUUUUGAGAUGAUUUUAAGGGUAAAUGCUGUAGAAAGUUGUGGAAGGAAGCAAAAUCAGUCAGAGGAAGAAAAAUGGAAACCAGACGCAGCCUCAACAAAGAACCCAGUCAACCAGACUGGGAGCUCAGGAGCUAAAACUGCCCUUCAAAGUUGCUCUUUAUAAGAUUAAAAUGUCCCAGCCUUUCUGCUCUUGCUUCACUCAGUCUCCAGAUGCAAGCUGCCUUGGGAAGGGCAGGACCUUAACAAGGUGGCUUUUCACACCUGAAGCACACCCAGCUAGCAGCUGGAGGCCCUGUGCAGACUGUAUUCUCCACAGCUGGGCAGGACAGUUGCCCCACGAAGCCCACCCAGGAUUGGCUCCACACACACUGUGGAUAGUGAAAUCCAUGGAUGCUCAAAUCCUUUAUAUAAAAUGGUACAGUAUUUGCAUAUAACUUCACACAUUCUCCCAUAUACUUUCUUUUUUUUCAGUACCAGGGAUCAAACUCAGGACCUUGCACUUACAAGGCAGGCAUGGCACCACUGAUCUAAAUCCCUGGCCCUCCCAUAUACUUUAAAUCAUCUCUAGAUUAUUUAAUACAAUGUAAUGCAAUGUAAAUAUUGUAUCAUUUAGGGAACAGUGAUAAGAAAAAAGUAUGUACAUGUUCAGUAUAGAUGGAAUUUUUUCCCUGAAUGUUUUCCACCCACAGUUGUUUGAAUCCACACACAGGGAGGGCCAACUACACAUGCCAGGACGGGGGGUGUGGGGUGCAUCUCUUUGUCCAUCACCGUGUGACUUGUAGUUUAUGUAUACAAACCUACUGUAUGCUUGGCAACACAGUCAUGUGUUUUAAAAAUAAGGACAAUAUAAAAGUUUACAGUGAAAAAUCUGUCCUACCCACGAUCUGCAUAUAUUUUCAGCAGUUCUUUAUGCAAGUAAGGCAAAUAUAUAU